GGCCAUAGCUCAGGGGUAGAACAUCUGGCUUGCAUCCAGAAGGUCAAUGGUUUAAUCCCCAGCAUCU